GGGGUCGUAGCUUAAGAAGAGCUUCGAGCUUUUAACUCGAGUGUGGGUGUAAUCUCCGACUUCA